ACAGCAGCAGCCGCGGGAAUACAGAGGGUGCAAGCGUUAAUCGGAAUUACUGGGCGUAAAGCGCGCGUAGGUGGUUUGUUAAGUUGGAUGUGAAAGCCCCGGGCUCAACCUGGGAACUGCAUCCAAAACUGGCAAGCUAGAGUACGGUAGAGGGUGGUGGAAUUUCCUGUGUAGCGGUGAAAUGCGUAGAUAUAGGAAGGAACACCAGUGGCGAAGGCGACCACCUGGACUGAUACUGACACUGAGGUGCGAAAGCGUGGGGAGCAAACAGGAUUAGAUACCCGAGUAGUCCCUGUCUCUUAUAA
rnacentral:rRNA from 1 species